rnacentral:rRNA from 1 species
UACGUAGGGGGGCAAGCGUUGUCCGGAAUCAUUGGGCGUAAAGCGCGUGUAGGCGGCUCGAUAAGUCUGCUGUGAAAGUCCAAGGCUCAACCUUGGGAUGCCGGUGGAUACUGUCGAGCUCGAGUCCGGAAGAGGAGUGUGGAAUUCCUGGUGUAGCGGUGAAAUGCGCAGAUAUCAGGAGGAACACCAAUGGCGAAGGCAGCACUCUGGGACGUGACUGACGCUGAGACGCGAAAAGCGUGGGGGAGCAA